GUAAAUAUAGUUUAACAAAAACACUAGAUUGUGAUUCUAGAAAUGGGGGCUAAUACCCCCUUAUUCACC
rnacentral:tRNA from 1 species